AUUCCAGGGUGCCAGCUGUGUCAUGACUGACGGAGGCUGGAGAUGGAGGCCUGAUCAUUCCGGCCCAAUAUGGAGGCAUUCCAAUGGCCAUUUCAGCUCCAGAACUCAGGGGUUUUGCUCCCCAGAGGUGUCUGCAGCCACAACUCCAGAGAGAAGCCAUUACUCUACAGAGGACAGCAUCUAGGGUGGCCUUCAUGAGCCCCAGCUGUUGGCAUCAUCCCUUGUUGUGAUAUGGAACCUGUGACUUGCUUCUCACCAGUGGAAUAUGGCAAAGGUGAUGGGCUCUCUGUGAUUACACACAUGUGCUCACGUUACAUACAAUUGUAACAGCCACGUCACUAGGAGACCCUCUCUCUCCCUUGCUGGCUUUGGUGAAGCAGCUUCCAUGUUGUGAGCUGCCACAUGGAGAAAGCCACAUGUUAGAGAACUGAGUGUGGCUUCUGCUCAGCAGCCAGUGUGACACUGAGGCCCUCAGUCUGGCAGCCUGCAAGGAACUGCCAUGUGAGACUGGAAGUGAACCCUUCUCCAGUCAAGCCUUGGAUGAGACUGCGGCAUUGGCUGACCCUGGGAUUCCAUCUUUCUGAGACCCUGAAGCAGAGGAUCCAGCUAAGCUGUCCCUGGACUCCUGACCCCCAGAAAUUGGUCAAGCCAGCUCUCCAAGGAUCUCUCAGCCAGGGCGGACAGAAACGGAUACCCAUGUUACUGCAUGGCCCCUGAACCUGAUGGAGUAUGACCUACUGGGCAGAGCUCAGCUCAGCUACCCCAAGAAGUAAACAGCACAGAGGGAAAGAUAAACCUUCCAGGCUUUCCGAAAGCAAUUAUCAUGUGUGGUUAUCAGAAAAUUUGUAUUCACUAUCCCGGGGGAAGGAAGCAGAGAUACAAAUAAACCCAGAAUUGAUAUUUGCCUGGGGAUAAAUUACAUGACAUUGCAGGGUGGGGAGCAGAUUUUCUUUCUGGAUUACUUUCUGCACAGGCGGCCAUUAAAAUGUAUAGCUAGCCCCUGAGUGUGCAUCAGCUUGGGGCCGGGAAGCCAGACUGGAGGCCAUGGUUUGAGGGCAUAGCGCUCAUAAGGAAAUGGGAAAGUCAACUUUUGAUUUUCUUUUGUCAAGUGUUUGAGAAGGGUUUGUUACUUUCUCCAAGGCCCUGAGAGUUGAUAUCACACUCUCCCCUACAUGGUGUGGGCUGGCAACCACAAGGUGGUGACUUCCAUAGCAGGUCCUCUGAAGGGGAAGAGACAGCAGGUGGUCCCACGGACCUGCAGGAUUCUUGAGCUGCCCACGACAGCCAGUGCAUCACGCCCUCAUCUAGAAGCUUCAGCCCGGUGUUUAUGAGCUUGGCAGUAAAAACUCCACUGGUGCUCUGUGGAUAAGCAAAGCUGGUGUCCCUUCCCUUGCACACUGGCAGUGUUCGGUAGCAAGGGGUUCAAUGCUGGGGCCAUUCCUUUGUCUUGGGAAACUGUCACAGGGUAGGACGGCCAUUUCUUCAGGCUUGCUGACCCCAGGUUAACCUCACACCAGCCCAGUGGCCCCCUUCGGGGCAGUGUGGCCAGGGGGACAAUUAUCUGUGGCUUUAUCAGGCAGAUGGUGUCUGCAAUCCUCACUCUACAAUCUCAGCUGUUUGACCUUGGACAAAGCUGGCCUCACCUACUCACCCAUGAGCUGGAGGUCGCUGCGGUACCUACACCACUGGGCUGGCAUGAGGAUGAAAUUAGAAUGUACAGAGGGUGCUCAGCACACAGUGUUUGUCCAGGAAGUGGCAGCUCUCAUAAUUUUCUGUGCGUAACGAGUUAUAACAAACUCCUUUUUUUCAAGAGCACACUCUAUGUUUUCUAAAAUCUAGGAAAGAAACAAAUUGUCUUUCUCAACAGAAACCUGUGAAAACAACUCAGGGACACCCAUACCAUGAGACCCUUGCCCCGGCCAUUUGAAUAACCACAGGCUAGAGCCUUACAGCUCUUCAUCCCCAGCGUGGUACUCAUCCCAUGAAAGGCCACGUUCUACUCACAGGUGAAAUAAACUGGUUUUAAACAAUCAGCCUUACGGCAAUCUUGAGGACAAGAGAUUUGGGACAUUUCUUGGGCCACGUUUGACCUGAAGCCAGCAGGUCAUAGACUUAGGUCCCCAGUCAAACCCUUGCUCAGGUGGGAAACUCAUGCACUGCACCUGGUUCUGGUCUGUGAUCUCUCCUGGAAGCCGAGCAUCAUUUGGAAGUGUGUCUGGAGGAGGUGUUCCUUUUUUUUUUUUAAUUGAGGCAGAGUCUUGCUCUAUCGCCCCAGAGCUAGAGUGCAGUGGCACCAUCUCGGCU
rnacentral:lncRNA from 10 species